AAGAAAAGGUCAGGAUAGCUCAGUUGGUAGAGCAGAGGACUGAAAAUCCUCGUGU
rnacentral:tRNA from 1 species